rnacentral:rRNA from 1 species
UACGUAGGUGGCAAGCGUUGUCCGGAUUUACUGGGCGUAAAGGGUGCGUAGGCGGUCGCGCAAGUCGGAUGUGAAAUCUCAGGGCUCAACCCUGAAACUGCAUUCGAUACUGCGUGGCUAGAGUGCUGGAGGGGAGACUGGAAUUUACGGUGUAGCAGUGAAAUGCGUAGAUAUCGUAAGGAAGACCAGUGGCGAAGGCGAGUCUCUGGACAUUUCCUGACGCUGAGGCACGAAAGCCAGGGGAGCAAACGGG